CGCCAGCCUCCCUCCCCCCAGCCUCCCUCCCUCCCAGGCUCCUUCGCUUCACACACUCCACAGGCGCUACAGGAAUCCGACCAGCAUUCUUUUGCUCCUUUUUAUUUCCUUCUCCGUGUGGAGUUUCAGUGGUUCGAGGGACUUCUUGGACCUGUUUUUUUUUUCACUCUCACACAGAUUUCUUUUUAUUAUUCUUUGUUGUUUGGCGCAGUAGCCCUCUCCUCUGCCCUCCAGUCCCCUCCCACAGCUAUGACGCUCUCUGAUUGGACUAUGCCCCCCUCGGCUGAAGGACCAGGGGCCAGGUGCUGCUUUUGAGGCUCCUGGAAGAAUCGAGCGGCCAGGACAUAACUUGAAAGACGGUGGAGACAGUUAGGUAAGCAUUCUGAAAGAGGGAAAGCUCUGAGAAAUCGCUCUCUGUCUCGCGUGCGCGCUCUCGGAACCAACUGUAACAGGCUGUGCUGGAGUUCUGCUGAGUUGCUGGAUGCACUGACACCUUGACCAGCUUACCUGGAUCUGGGAUAGAACCAGGAAGAGGAGGGGGGGUGUCCCAGAAGACGUGGCUACCCACCAGCAGCAGGAAACUGUUGAAGAUGACUUCAACUGCCUCCCCUGUGACCAAAUUCACCACAGUGUCAUCCAAUGCCACCACCACCACCAAGUCCAGAGAACAAAUACUCACACAGAGCUCAGGGGCUAUGAUUGCCCUCAUCGUCGUGGCGAUCAUUAUCGUUCUAACCAUCCUGCUCGUUAUCCUAAAGACGUACAACAGGCGCACUCAUGUGUCCAGAGUGUUAGGAACCGUCUCCAAAGUUCCACCACGUCCAAAAAUGGCUUCUUCCUCUACAAUCCAUACCAGCAUGCCCUUGGGAAACCUACAAGACGGCUCUGCAUCCAGAAGCUUUGCUCAUUCAAAUAUUGAGUCUGGAAAUGGAUUCCGGCUACCUCGAGCUGAACUAAACAGCCUGGAGGAAAACAACUUGGAGCAGCAGAGUACAGUCAGCGAUUCGACAGUGGUCACCAUACAUGAUCCACCGUCAAUAGGAAAUACAUAGCAGAUCUCUAGCAUGUUGGACACAUGGUGAAGUCUGCAUGCUAUGUUGGAAAACAAAUAUGAACAAAGUGCAUAGGGAAGCAAUGGACACUAAGAUGGACAUAAACAUAUGCAUUUUUGACUACAGUGUUCAGGACUUGAAAAGAAUGAUUCUCCCCUCAGUGCAUUUGGGGCAGUGCAACCAACUUGAACUUGUCCUUGCUAAUUCUACUGUUGUGUUUCUGUCAAAGGUAGAUGUUGACACAUUCUUUAAUGAAUUCAGUUUAUUCUUAUGCAAGGUUUUUUUUAACAACGUCGUGGUUAUGGUUUUCACCAUACAGGGAAAAAUCAUGACAGUGUUUCGGAGAAAUGUCGAUACUGAACCACUGUGGAACUCCGGAAAGCAGACAGUUAUGAAUUUAUAAGUCCUAAUUAGUUUUAUAUCAAAUGAUUUUGCACUUUACACUAUCCAGUUUGUUUUGUUGGGUUUCUGACAAAAUAAAUGUUGAUAGUUCUAAUAUUGUGUGCAUGUUUCUACUACUAGGCUUUAAUGCAAUAUCCAAAUAAAAAGACAAUUCUUAUUUAUCCCCAAAGUUGGAAUAUUUAAAGCUUUGGAAAUGUAAUUUGCCACCAGAAAAACCUUUUCUUCAUCACUACUGUGAAAUAUUCCUGGAUUCUGAUGUUUUUUUGUCAAGAAAAGUUACUCUUGAAGGGGCUGUAUCGAACCUUCAGUACUGACACAAAUUUAGUAAAUAGAACAGACAAUAAUGGAGCUUCUAUAAAGCCGGGAAACAGCAUCCCUGUUGAUGACAGGAUUGUAUACGUAAUUACAUGCACACAAUGUAACCUUGGGUCACUGUAGCAAGCAGGUCCUGGGCCCUUAACAGGCAAGCAGUCAAACAGAAACCAGAGUUCCAAAAAGUGUAUUACCUGGCUCAAUAAACAGAAAAGUACAAAACUACUGACAUUUGAUGCCUCAGUGGGUAGACGGUAACACCAGCUUUGUAACUCGGACCAGGUCCUACCCAGUCCGUUUGCUUAGCUACUCUCACACGCUACCGUCCAAACUCCAGGAGUCCACCAACACUGCAGCAUGAAGCACAGAGCAAUGUUUUCCCGUGACCAAAAUGGAGCGGCUAAAUCCCCUGACCCGUGCCACCCCCAUACUGUUCCAACCAAUACCAUAUGCCCCAAAUGGGUUCCAUCCACUUGGCUAGAGGACAGAUUUCUUCAGUUCCUGGCUGAGGUUCCUGUUUUAAACAUCAAGGUAAAUUCACAGCUGUAUGUGCACAUACAAGCGGUUUCAUGCUUUUUCAAUCCAUGUCUCCCAUUCUGGAAAAGGGUUGGUGACGCUUCCUCUGAUCUUCGACUUGCACACUUUCAUCCAACAAGUUCCACUGAUUGAGCCGAGACAUGAAAAGCUUGGCACUGGACUUGGUGAGACCGAGAUCUAGAAUCAAGUCGUUGAGUUCUUUUUGGUUGGGGUAGUGUGGGUGUUUCUCCUCAGCUCCACCUCUGAAAUUCUCAUCUGGAUCUACAACGUCUUCCUCACUCCCGGAAUUGCUGCUUUCUUCUAUAUAUGGCUGGUCUCUCUUGGGAGGGGUGGGUACGGGGGAGCUCAUGGCAGUGAGGCACCGGGGCGAGGGAUGAAGGAAGGUCCGGAGACAUGAUAGCAGGUGCGUUCUUGCCAGUCCGACGUUUGGAGGGGUCCACCACGCAGAAGUGGCAGUUGCUGGAGUGGUCAAUGGGUUCCCGCCAAGUUCUUGGGAUAGCAAACUUCCUAGCUCUCUUUUCCCCUCAAUACCAUCCUACAGAAAUACAUUUAUUUCACCCAUGACUAAUGUGUGAGAGAUUCUCACAAAAUGUUUGCAUAUUAUAUAUUUUUUCAAUAACACUGAAAAUUGUAAAACAUUUUUAAAUUAAACUGAUAAUUUAAAUGUUUUUACAAAUUUUGUAACAAAAUUGCAAGCAACAAUUGUCCCUACCACCUUCCAGAGUUUUUUUGCAGUGCUCGCAGGUGAAAUGAGGUGCCCAGGGUUUGUCUGGAUUCCCGACAGGCAUGCCAAAAUAUGCCUUGUAGGCCUCACACAUCCUAGCAGAUGCUUCCACCAAGUACUUUUUCGUUCUUGUCUUGAUAAAUUGGCCGCAGACAUAGCGAAAUGCGUCUGCCGGAUGCUUGCAGCCUCUUGAUGCCAUCUCAGAACAAGGAACCAGGCAAGGCUAGUUCAGCCGGCCCGCAAUAAAAAGAAUUGCCACCUCGAGAUUCGAAUUGGGGUCGCCCCACGUGAGACAUUCGCUAGAUCUCAGUAGAGCCUCUUGUCUCUAUCCUGAACAAAUCCUCUUUUGCCACUGGCUGUUUUAAUUGUUAUUUGGCCAUUCGUGAAUGACACUGAUACAGUUAAACUGACUAACGUUUCUUACUAAGUUUACCUCCACCACAAAUAUGUAUAGCGUUUACCACUGGCCAUUUUAACAGCAUAUUAGCAUGCAAUAAGCUUUACUGGUAUCUACUAACUUACUGGAAUAGUCAUAAGAAUUGAUCAAUUGCUAGCGAGUCUGCCAAAGCAGUUUCAUUUCAUGGCAUAAGAACAUAUUUUUUUCUUUCAUGGCAAAACAACACUUUUUUCUCUUAUUGGUGAAUAACUUUUAUACAAUAACUAUAAAUAAAGGCGAUGAUGAACUUUUCCAUCAAGUGAAAAGACGAGAGAAUCGUGGAAUCUACAAGAAAUAAUUAAUAAAGGUUUUUGCUCUCAAUAGAUUCAAACUUAGGUCUUCCACAUGAGAGGCGCUGUCUUUAACCACUACACCACAGCAUUACAUGUUUCAGCAGUCGCUAGACUACAUUGAGGAUUAUGUUAAACUGACUAAAGUUUCUUAUUAAGUUUACCUCCACCAUCGUGUCUAUGAACUGUACUGCUUUUGCCACUGGCCGUUUUAACAGCUUAUUAGCCAGC
ensembl:lncRNA